rnacentral:misc_RNA from 1 species
GAUGAAGAACGUAGCGAAAUGCGAUAAGUAAUGUGAAUUGCAGAAUUCCGUGAAUCAUCGAAUCUUUGAACGCAUAUUGCGCCCUCUGGUAUUCCGGAGGGCAUGCCUGUCCGAGCGUCAUUUGUACCCUCAAGCUUUGCUUGGUGUUGGGUGUUUGUCCCGCGUUGCGCGUGGACUCGCCUUAAAGCGAUUGGCAGCCGGCAUAUUGGCCUUGGAGCGCAGCACAUUUUGCGCUUCUAGUCAUGAAUGUUGGCGUCCAUUAAGCCUAUACAUUUGCUCUUGACCUCGGAUCAGGUAGGGAUACCCGCUGAACUUAAGCAUAUCAAUAAGCGGAGGA